GACGAACGCUGGCGGCGUGCUUAACACAUGCAAGUCGAACGGUGAAGCGAGUGCUUGCACUCGUGGAUCAGUGGCGAACGGGUGAGUAACACGUGAGUAACCUGCCCAUCACUCUGGGAUAAGCACUGGAAACGGUGUCUAAUACUGGAUACGACCAACCCUUGCAUGGGGUGUUGGUGGAAAGAUUUAUCGGUGAUGGAUGGACUCGCGGCCUAUCAGCUUGUUGGCGGGGUAAUGGCCCACCAAGGCGACGACGGUUAGCCGGCCUGAGAGGGUGACCGGCCACACUGGGACUGAGACACGGCCCAGACUCCUACGGGAGGCAGCAGUGGGGAAUAUUGCACAAUGGGCGAAAGCCUGAUGCAGCGACGCCGCGUGAGGGAUGACGGCCUUCGGGUUGUAAACCUCUUUCAGCAGGGAAGAAGCGAAAGUGACGGUACCUGCAGAAGAAGCACCGGCUAACUACGUG
rnacentral:rRNA from 1 species